rnacentral:RNase_P_RNA from 16 species
CGGGACGGGCAGACAGUCGCCGCGUAUCGCGUAAGGCAUACGGGGAGGAAAGUCCGGGCUCCGCAGGGUAGAAUGCCGGUUAACGGCCGGGCGCGGUAACGCGACGGAAAGUGGAACAGAAAGCAAAACCGCCGAUGGCUGCUUUGGCAGCACAGGCAAGGGUGAAAAGGUGCGGUAAGGGCGCACCGCGCAUUUGGUAACAAUAUGCGGCAGGCCAAACCCCAUUCGGAGCAAGACCAAACAGAACGCAAUGACGCUGCCCGCCGAGCGUUCGGGUAGGUUGCUUGAGCAUACCGGCAACGGUAUGCCUAGAGGAAUGACUGUCCGAGACAGAACCCGGCUUACCGCCUGUCCGGUGUG